GGCUGUUUUAAGCACUGUCUAAGACUGCUCAGACUUGUAUAAUGUUGCUAAGUAGCAGGAUUAAAGGAUUAAAUUCUCUACAUUCUAGAAUCCAGGUUUGGAAACUUUUUGGAAAAGAAGGCUGCCUGGCUGCGGGAAGGAGCCUGUCCUAUGAGCAAUUUCCAUUUUAGUAGAGAAAGCAGCCUUCAUCAGUGCCCGCCACUGCUCUCCUCUGCCGGGGUUGGCCCCAGCCUCAGGUUCUCAUUUCCUUAACUGAGACAAUUGCAAGGCAUCCUUUUCCCACCUCAGUCCUAGAACUGGU